CCUGGAGCUCACUGUAUAGACCAGGCUGGCCUUGAUCUUACACAGAGCUCCACCAGCCUCUGCCUCCUGAGUGCUAGGAU
rnacentral:miRNA from 1 species